AGGAAGUGUGUCACUGCAGGGGUGAGCUUCCAGGUUUAUUUUGCCCAAGCUGUAUCCAGUGUGGCGCAUAGUCUCCUUUUGCCGCCUGUGGAUCAAGACAUAGAACUCUCAGCUGCCUUUCCAGGACCAUGUCCCUGCAUGCCAUUAUGUCCCCCCAUGAUGAUAAUGGACUACAUCUCUGAAAAGCAGUGGGAGAGAAACAGUGGCAAACCAUCUCUCUCAACCUCAGAUGUCAAAAAUAAGUUAAAAAAAAAAAAAGUGAAAACACCGCCUGGAUCUCGAAGCUAGAAGAGGAGGUUGGAGAGGCCCCAGUGAAAGAGGCUUAACAAGAACUGCUGCCUGUAAAAGUGUUGAUUCGGAAACUCUUGCAGCUCUGGGGAUGACUUCCUUAACGACGAAAGGAAAACUGACCAGGGCCUGUCCACAAAGCUUCCCCGAAGCAGCCACAGAGGUACUCGCGGAUGCACACGACUGGAUCCCAAAAGGACACCCGUGAAAGAUGAACCUUCCAAAAGUGCUCAGAGGUGGCAACUGUUGGCUCCCAACACCCUGCUGGCAUUUGGAACAGAGGGAAGGUUUCCUCCAUUGGCUAGGAGCCCUAGUAACCUCGCAAACAGAAAAAGCUUUCCAGGUCUAUUCGCGAUGUCUCAGAGGGUUAUAGCGAUGGCCUCCACGCCUGAAGAGCCGAGUUUGGUCCCCGGAACCCACGUGAUGGGAUGAAAGAAACAAACCCCACAAGUUGUCCUCCUACCUCCGCGUGGGCGUGGGGGGCACUGGUGCCCUCCCCCACAAAGGGACAAAUAAACGUAAUGGAAAAAAAAUAUAGAGAGAUGGCUCAAGUGGCCAAGAAUCCUGGAUGCUCUUCCAGAGAGAGGGUCGGGGUUCAAGUCCCAGCGCCCACAUGAGAGCUCACACUGUCUGUAACUAGAGUUACAGGGCUCUCUGAUACCCUCACAAGCAGGCACAGACACACAAGCAGUCAAAAACACCAAUAAAUGUAAAAUAAAAAUAAAGACCUCCCCCCCCACGUUCCCGUAGAAGAGCCCUCCUGGGGUGCUUGGCAUUUCCUGAGCUGUCCCAAGAGCAAGCCACCUCAGAGACAGACCUGCCCUGUGUACACGGUGGUUCCCACAGUAAUAAGGGAGGGGAAAGAAAACGACCCUUUGUGUUUCCUGUUUGUUAUAUCACUUCAGGUGUGCUUGCCUUGCCCAUGUUGCCUAGGCUUUUCAUCCGGAAUCCUCGGAACAGCUCCCGUCUUUAUUCCAGCUCUUACAGCUCCACGUACGUUGUUAAACAAUCAAGUAUUUUGCUUCUCCUCUUCGUUGUUAAAACAAUCAAGUAUUUUGCUUUUCCUCUGCUACCACCACCAACACAACCACCCCAGCCUUAGAGCUGCCUGCACUGUGCAGACAGCGCCACAAACUCCCUUCUUUCCAGCUCCAGACAAUUCUUCACGGCCCAGCCUCUUCCUCGAGACCAUUUUGUGGCCCCAUCUGCAGAUGCCCCGGAAUCAGCUCUCUCGGAAAGGCUGACAUCUAGACUAGGACGGUCUGGACAGGAGGAGGGAAACAAUGUAGGGAAUGAACAACACAGCAUGGGCAAGCAUUUGCCGUUAGUCCUGAUGGCUUUAUUCUUUAACACAUUUCCGGUGGCAGGAAAAGUUGAACAUUCAUGAAACAGAGGAGUAUAAGGACCUUCUUGGCGUUUUUUUUUUUUUUUCACCCAGCUUUGACAAUUGCCAACUCAUGGCCUGUCUUGUCUGUCUCCUAUAGCGUUUACCUCUCCCCUCUUCCUCACACAUCUCCUUCGAAGAAUAACUUAUUUUGAAGCUGCUGUUGGAAAUCCAUUGUACUUCUUAGAAUUUCAGUUGUUAUCUAAUAACUAAUAUUGGCAUAACUUAAUUUAUAGAGGUACGGAGAGAAAUGUCACCUCUUUUAUCCCCACCCUUUUCUUACAAAAAAAAAAACCAGAAUAUUUUAUAAUUCCCCUGAUUAAGAAUCGGAGUCAUGUUGGGCAGAGUGCUUCUAAUUCCAUCACUUGGGAGGCAGAGACAGGCAGAUCUCUGAGUUGGAAUCCAGCCUGAUUCUACAGAGUGAGUUCUAGGACAGCCAGGGCUGUACAGAGAGACAUUGUGUUAAAAAAAAAAAAAAAGAAAUGGAGUCAUUUCUAUACCUUAAUCUUGGUUCUCCCCUCUCCCUCUCCCUCCCUCACAUACACACACACACAUACACACACACACACACACACAC